UGGGUCUGAACUUCUUGACAACUUCAUCCAGGGCUUUCAUCCUCUGGAGGGUCACACAUUUCUUGUUGUCUUCUCCAGCUUUCAGAUUCAGCAAUGUCCUCACUCCUGACAGACCAGGGUCCCCUUUCCAGAGUAAUGGAGGAGCACCGUGAUUUUUUAAUCCAAAAUUCCCGGAUUUGAAUGAAAUGCUCUGGAAAGGCUCUGGAAAUCAUUGGGUGUUCACAAUCAUCAAUGAAGAUGUUCACCAGGAAUUGCUGAUCACUGGCCUCCAGCUGGAUGUUGCACUCCUGAUCACCACCCCGGCCAGCAGAUUUCAACCAGCCUGCUGUCUGCUCAUCCAGCCCAUACUUCAUGGGCUUCUCUGUGAGGGAGCCCUGUCUGUGUCCACUAGUACACACAUUCAUUUGGAUUUUAAACAAUCAAACAGAAGUGAGUGUUUUAACAGCAGAAUUAUUUUUCAAAGGGAAAUAGAAGGGUAUGGCUUUGAUGGAACGAGUGCCUUCAAGCUCCACUGGCAGGCACUGUUUGAAAACUAUUUGGGUGAUUUUUGAUAAGAAAUGAAAGAUGCAACAGCAGGAAGCCAUUCAGC